rnacentral:rRNA from 1 species
AACGAACGCUGGCGGCAGGCUUAACACAUGCAAGUCGAGCGCCCCGCAAGGGGAGCGGCAGACGGGUGAGUAACGCGUGGGAAUCUACCCAUCUCUACGGAAUAACGCAUGGAAACGUGUGCUAAUACCGUAUACGUCCUUCGGGAGAAAGAUUUAUCGGAGAUGGAUGAGCCCGCGUUGGAUUAGCUAGUUGGUGGGGUAAAGGCCUACCAAGGCGAUGAUCCAUAGCUGGUCUGAGAGGAUGAUCAGCCACACUGGGACCGAGACACGGCCCAGACUCCUACGGGAGGCAGCAGUGGGGAAUAUUGGACAAUGGGCGCAAGCCUGAUCCAGCCAUGCCGCGUGAGUGAUGAAGGCCCUAGGGUUGUAAAGCUCUUUCACCGGUGAAGAUAAUGACGGUAACCGGAGAAGAAGCCCCGGCUAACUUCGUGCCAGCCGCCGCGGUAACAC